GAUGAACGCUGGCGGCGUGCCUAAUACAUGCAAGUCGAGCGAACAGACGAGGAGCUUGCUCCUCUGACGUUAGCGGCGGACGGGUGAGUAACACGUGGAUAACCUACCUAUAAGACUGGGAUAACUUCGGGAAACCGGAGCUAAUACCGGAUAAUAUAUUGAACCGCAUGGUUCAAUAGUGAAAGACGGUUUUGCUGUCACUUAUAGAUGGAUCCGCGCCGCAUUAGCUAGUUGGUAAGGUAACGGCUUACCAAGGCAACGAUGCGUAGCCGACCUGAGAGGGUGAUCGGCCACACUGGAGCUGAGACACGGUCCAGACUCCUACGGGAGGCAGCAGUAGGGAAUCUUCCGCAAUGGGCGAAAGCCUGACGGAGCAACGCCGCGGGAGUGAUGAAGGUCUUCGGAUCGUAAAACUCUGUUAUUAGGGAAGAACAAAUGUGUAAGUAACUAUGCACGUCUUGACGGUACCUAAUCAGAAAGCCACGGCUAACUACGUG
rnacentral:rRNA from 1 species